rfam:Brachypodium distachyon strain Bd21 chromosome 3, whole genome shotgun sequence.
CACAUACUCCCUCCGUCCCAUAUUAAGUGACUCAAAUUUGUCCAAAUAUGUAUGUACCUAUGCCUAAAAAGCGUCUAGAUACAUGUAAUAGAAAGUCACUUAAUAUGGGACGGAGGGAGUAGUUG